rnacentral:rRNA from 1 species
AGUGAACGCUGGCGGUCGGCCUAACACAUGCAAGUCGAACGGCAGCACAGUAAGAGCUUGCUCUUACGGGUGGCGAGUGGCGGACGGGUGAGGAAUACAUCGGAAUCUACUUUUUCGUGGGGGAUAACGUAGGGAAACUUACGCUAAUACCGCAUACGACCUACGGGUGAAAGCAGGGGAUCUUCGGACCUUGCGCGAUUGAAUGAGCCGAUGUCGGAUUAGCUAGUUGGCGGGGUAAAGGCCCACCAAGGCGACGAUCCGUAGCUGGUCUGAGAGGAUGAUCAGCCACACUGGAACUGAGACACGGUCCAGACUCCUACGGGAGGCAGCAGUGGGGAAUAUUGGACAAUGGGCGCAAACCUGAUCCAGCCAUACCGCGUGGGUGAAGAAGGCCUUCGGGUUGUAAAGCCCUUUUGUUGGGAAAGAAAAGCAGCAGGUUAAUACCCCGCUGUUCUGACGGUACCCAAAGAAUAAGCACCGGCUAACUUCGUG